GACCAACGCUGGCGGCGUGCCUAAUACAUGCAAGUCGAACGCUGAAGGAGGAGCUUGCUCUUCUGGAUGAGUUGCGAACGGGUGAGUAACGCGUAGGUAACCUGCCUGGUAGCGGGGGAUAACUAUUGGAAACGAUAGCUAAUACCGCAUAAAAUUGAUUAUUGCAUGAUAGUCAAUUAAAAGGUGCAAUUGCAUCACUACCAGAUGGACCUGCGUUGUAUUAGCUAGUUGGUGAGGUAACGGCUCACCAAGGCAACGAUACAUAGCCGACCUGAGAGGGUGAUCGGCCACACUGGGACUGAGACACGGCCCAGACUCCUACGGGAGGCAGCAGUAGGGAAUCUUCGGCAAUGGACGGAAGUCUGACCGAGCAACGCCGCGUGAGUGAAGAAGGUUUUCGGAUCGUAAAGCUCUGUUGUAAGAGAAGAACGAGUGUGAGAGUGGAAAGUUCACACUGUGACGGUAUCUUACCAGAAAGGGACGGCUAACUACGUG
rnacentral:rRNA from 1 species